rnacentral:sRNA from 1 species
AGUUUCUUUUGGAAGGUAAAAAGCGUAACAAGGUUUCCGUAGGUGAACCUGCGGAAGGAUCAUUACCGAGUGAGGGCCCUUUGGGUCCAACCUCCCACCCGUGUUUAUUUUACCUUGUUGCUUCGGCGGGCCCGCCUUUACUGGCCGCCGGGGGGCUCACGCCCCCGGGCCCGCGCCCGCCGAAGACACCCCCGAACUCUGUCUGAAGAUUGAAGUCUGAGUGAAAAUAUAAAUUAUUUAAAACUUUCAACAACGGAUCUCUUGGUUCCGGCAUCGAUGAAGAACGCAGCGAAAUGCGAUACGUAAUGUGAAUUGCAAAUUCAGUGAAUCAUCGAGUCUUUGAACGCACAUUGCGCCCCCUGGUAUUCCGGGGGGCAUGCCUGUCCGAGCGUCAUUGCUGCCCUCAAGCCCGGCUUGUGUGUUGGGCCCCGUCCUCCGAUUCCGGGGGACGGGCCCGAAAGGCAGCGGCGGCACCGCGUCCGGUCCUCGAGCGUAUGGGGCUUUGUCACCCGCUCUGUAGGCCCGGCCGGCGCUUGCCGAUCAACCCAAAUUUUUAUCCAGGUUGACCUCGGAUC